GAUGAAGAACGUAGCGAAAUGCGAUAAGUAAUGUGAAUUGCAGAAUUCAGUGAAUCAUCGAAUCUUUGAACGCACAUUGCGCCCCUUGGUAUUCCGAGGGGCAUGCCUACUCGAGCGUCAUUAUCACCCCUCAAGCCUAGCUUGGUGUUGAGACCUGCUGUCAAGGCAGUCUCUAAAAUCAGUGGCAGUGCUGUCAGGCUCUAAGCGUAGUAAAUCUAAUCGCUAUAGACACCUGGUGGACACUCGCCAGAACCCCCCCAUUUUUUAAUGAUUGACCUCGGAUUAGGUAGGGAUACCCGCUGAACUUAAGCAUAUCAAUAAGCGGAGGA
rnacentral:misc_RNA from 1 species